rnacentral:rRNA from 1 species
AUGCAGUCGAGCGAACAGAUAAGGAGCUUGCUCCUUUGACGUUAGCGGCGGACGGGUGAGUAACACGUGGAUAACCUACCUAUAAGACUGGGAUAACUUCGGGAAACCGGAGCUAAUACCGGAUAACAUAUUGAACCGCAUGGUUCAAUAGUGAAAGGCGGCUUUGCUGUCACUUAUAGAUGGAUCCGCGCCGUAUUAGCUAGUUGGUAAGGUGACGGCUUACCAAGGCAACGAUACGUAGCCGACCUGAGAGGGUGAUCGGCCACACUGGAACUGAGACACGGUCCAGACUCCUACGGGAGGCAGCAGUAGGGAAUCUUCCGCAAUGGGCGAAAGCCUGACGGAGCAACGCCGCGUGAGUGAUGAAGGUCUUCGGAUCGUAAAACUCUGUUAUCAGGGAAGAACAAAUGUGUAAGUAACUGUGCACAUCUUGACGGUACCUGAUCAGAAAGCCACGGCUAACUACGUGCCAGCAGCCGCGGUAAUACGUAGGUGGCAAGCGUUAUCCGGAAUUAUUGGGCGUAAAGCGCGCGUAGGCGGCUUUUUAAGUCUGAUGUGAAAGCCAACGGCUCAACCGCGGAGGGUCAUUGGAAACUGGAAAACUUGAGUGCAGAAGAAGAGAGUGGAAUUCCAUGUGUAACGUGGUAAAUGCGCAGAGAUAUGGAGGAACACCACGGGGGAAA